rnacentral:rRNA from 1 species
AUGAUUGGCCUAAAUGAGGAACCAUAUGAAAAUAUUUUUGAUGGUAUGGAUAUUGGUGAUCCAGUGUACUCUACACAACAUGGUGCUCAAAAUCAUGAGUUUGUGGCUGAAUCGCCUAAUGCUCCUAUAAUGCAAAAUGCCAUUGUUGCUACGGUGAAAAUAGUGGAGACAGAUGAGCAAGCACCUGCAGCACAAGAAACUGAGACUGAUGGUCAUACCCUUGAUGGCACGGGUGCCACGGGUGAUACAAGUGUGACUGUUGGUAAUGGUUUGACAGCCUUCGGUGCUGAAAAUGAUGAUGAAGCUUGGUCACAACCCAAGGAGCCUUAUGUGGGCAUGAGAUUUGACAGUUUGGAAGGCGCCAAAGAGCACUAA